AGGUGAUGCGGCUGCUGGUUUUCUGACUGCGCUGUGGAUAGCAGGGUCAGAACUGUGAAGUUGCAACAGGACACAGACGACACGUUUUACAUCCGAAAAGAAGAUGAGAUAAAGCACGCCUGCUGUUAUACUGAGUUUCUGCCAAAUAGGAUGGGGAUGAUGAUGAUAAUUCGAAAGCUGGGUGCGUUCAGAGUGGAGUCAGCCCCACUUGCUUCCUGCUGUGUCAGCCGGAGUCUCUUCAGAAAUGGCGUCAGCCGCUACCCGUGGCCCCUCUCCAGGCCCAGUCCACGCACUGGCAAAGACACAGGCAUCGCAUCUGUGUCGGUACAAGAGGGAAAAUGUGAAUUGGUUCUGAACUGUGAAACCUGCCGCCUGGAAUUGAGUUCCUUACCUGAAGACGUAUUGCAGUAGGAUGGCCGGUGCUCGUGAAUGCUGCGGGGCAGUGGUUCCCCAUUUCCCCAGUUUUCUGAGUGGGAGCUCACCCUUUUUGGAUGUCUUUCAAGAUGCAUCUGGAAAUUAAAAUUCCAACAAGAUGGAGAUGAAGUCUUGCUGCCCACGCCCAGCCCUACUGCUCAGAGUUUCUUUCAGACACAAGGACCCAAACUGAAGGAGGAGCAGCUGGUCCAUUUUACUGUCCCGGGUGGAGGAGAUGCAGAGAGAUGGAAACCCAGAGAAAAAG